rnacentral:rRNA from 1 species
AUUGAACGCUGGCGGCAUGCUUUACACAUGCAAGUCGAACGGCAGCACGGACUUCGGUCUGGUGGCGAGUGGCGAACGGGUGAGUAAUACAUCGGAACGUACCGCGUAGUGGGGACAACAAGUCGAAAGAUUUGCUAAUACCGCAUACACUCUGAGGAGAAAAGCAGGGGACCUUCGGGCCUUGUGCUAUGCGAGCGGCCGAUGGCUGAUUAGCUAGUUGGUGGGGUAAAGGCCUACCAAGGCAACGAUCAGUAGCGGGUCUUAGAGGACGAUCCGCCACACUGGAACUGGGCCACGGUCCAGACUCCUACGGGAGGCAGCAGUGGGGAAUCUUGGACAAUGGGCGCAAGCCUGAUCCAGCAAUGCCGCGUGCGUGAAGAAGGCCUUCGGGUUGUAAAGCGCUUUUGUCAGGGAGCAAAGACUGAUGGCUAAUAUCCAUCGGAGUUGAGAGUACCUGAAGAAUAAGGACCGGCUAACUACGUGCCAGCAGCCGCGGUAACAC